rnacentral:rRNA from 1 species
GACGAACGCUGGCGGCGUGCUUAACACAUGCAAGUCGAACGGAAAGGCCCUGCUUUUGUGGGGUGCUCGAGUGGCGAACGGGUGAGUAACACGUGAGUAACCUGCCCUUGACUUUGGGAUAACUUCAGGAAACUGGGGCUAAUACCGGAUAGGAGCUCCUGCUGCAUGGUGGGGGUUGGAAAGUUUCGGCGGUUGGGGAUGGACUCGCGGCUUAUCAGCUUGUUGGUGGGGUAGUGGCUUACCAAGGCUUUGACGGGUAGCCGGCCUGAGAGGGUGACCGGCCACAUUGGGACUGAGAGACGGCCCAGACUCCUACGGGAGGCAGCGGUGGGGAGUAUUGCACAAUGGGCGGAAGCCUGAUGCAGCAACGCCGCGUGCGGGAUGACGGCCUUCGGGUUGUAAACCGCUUUCGCCUGUGACGAAGCGUGAGUGACGGUAAUGGGUAAAGAAGCACCGGCUAACUACGUG